UACGUAGGGGGCGAGCGUUGUCCGGAAUUACUGGGCGUAAAGGGCGUGUAGGCGGUUUUGUAAGUCAGGUGUGAAACCUGUGGGCUCAACCCAUAGCAUGCACUUGAAACUGCAGGACUUGAGGGUAGGAGAGGAAAGUGGAAUUCCUAGUGUAGCGGAGAAAUGCGUAGAUAUUAGGAGGAACACCAGUGGCGAAGGCGACUUUCUGGCCUAACCCUGACGCUGAGGCGCGAAAGCGUGGGGAGCAAACAGGAUUAGAUACCCUGGUUGUCCACGCCGUAAACGAUGGGUACUAGGUGUAGGAGGUAUCGACCCCUUCUGUGCCGCAGUAAACGCAUUAAGUACCCCGCCUGGGGAGUACGGCCGCAAGGCUGAA
rnacentral:rRNA from 1 species